UACGAAGGGGGCUAGCGUUGCUCGGAAUCACUGGGCGUAAAGCGCACGUAGGCGGACUCUUAAGUCGGUGGUGAAAUCCUGGAGCUCAACUCCAGAACUGCCUUCGAUACUGGGAGUCUCGAGUCCGGGAGAGGUGAGUGGAACUGCGAGUGUAGAGGUGAAAUUCGUAGAUAUUUCGCAAGAACACCAGUGGCGAAGGCGGCUCACUGGCCCGGUACUGACGCUGAGGUGCGAAAGCGUGGGGAGCAAACAGG
rnacentral:rRNA from 1 species